UAUGUGUCGGUUGUUUUUGUCAGACAGCGAUUAGUUUGUCAGCAUUAGCAAGUUUUCUUUCAUUUCAUUUCCGGUUGUGACUUUAGGCCGAGUGGUUGUUUUAUGUUUCUCUUGUCAUUCCUGUCUGUGUGAUACGGUGGAUACCUAUACCGCAGCGAACGCGUAAGAAACAUGCACCGGCGACGAAAGAAGAGACUUUUGGCAAGACACUUUCCUUGAGAAAGUUGAGCCAAAACGUCCCAGCUUUGAAGAGAAUCGCAAACUCAUUUUAUACCCACAACCUACAAUUGGAAAUGAGUUCUGAUGCAGCGUUGAAAAUGGCGUUUUCAUGACAAACCCGGUCGGAAUAUUAGCUUUAGUUUAAAUCGUAAUUUUUUUUUUGAAAAUGUAUUGUGUCUCGAACGGUGCGAUAGUAGCUAGCUAAAAUAAAAAAAAAGAUCAUA